AUGGGGACUUCAUGUGGCUCGGCCCGGCCGCUCGCUGCUGGCCCAGAGGAGAUGUGGGCCGGCCCAGGAGCCCGGAAGUGGCCCCAGCGUUUCAUUCACGUUGGUGUUACCCUCCCCAGCCCCCCACACAAGAAAACCCCCACCUUCCUAACCAGCUCCGAAGUGGGGACCCCAGUUCCCAGGUGGAGCCAGGCGUGUGCUUCUGAGGCGAGCCACGAGCUGCCCCAUACCCAGAGCCUUUGGGUCCCUGUAGGAAGAGCCCCACACCCCAAUCAGCUGGGGAGGGCCCUGCCACCCCGCGGGGGCUGUUUCGAGGCAGGAAUCUUGUGGUCUGAGUCACCCCACUUCCCACCCCUGCUAUACUCAGACACAGAUUCCUCGGAAGGGCCCUUCUGCCGGGAUACUCGAGGACUCCUGGGUUCUGGUGACACCCUGCUCCUCCUGCUGUCGUGGGGCCGGAAGCCUUCACACGGGGAGCCCCCACGUGGAGCAGGGCUGCAGGGUGUCCAGGCUCAGCACCACCAUCAGGGUCGGCAGGGACAGGCGGGCACCGCGGGUGCUUCGGGCAGUACUCAACCCGUUGUCCCUCGAAGCAGGUUUGCACCCGGGAGACACCAGCACGGCGUGGACACAGGGCCACGUGGAGCCUCAGGGAACACCAGCGCCUGGCAGGCCCCGCUUUUCCUCCACAUGGCGCUCCCCGGGCGUCCAGGCUUCACUCAUGAGCCUGGCAGGCCCGGCACCAGCCCCUGGCAGACCCCGCUUUUCCUCCACAUGGCGCUCCCCGGGCGUCCAGGCUUCACUCAUGAGCCUGGCAGGCCCGGCACCAGCCCCUGGCAGACCCCGCUUUUCCUCCACAUGGCGCUCCCCGGGCGUCCAGGCUUCACUCAUGAGCCUGGCAGGCCCGGCACCAGCCCCUGGCAGACCCCGCUUUUCCUCCACAUGGCGCUCCCCGGGCGUCCAGGCUUCACUUGUGAGCGAGGCUGCGGAGCGCACCUGAUGGACCUCAGGGAGAAGCUGGCGCCACAAAGAUGGGGUGAGCUGUCAGAGGCCAGCAGGAAACCCACCCCUGACUCCUUGAAACACACGCAACGCCCGCGGCGCCAUCCUCCCGAGGCGGCCUGA
rnacentral:lncRNA from 1 species